rnacentral:lncRNA from 1 species
GCUCUUUACAACCAAUCUUAUCUGAUACAUCAUUCCCUCCUAUAUCCCAGACAGAAUAGCCUUCUUGGUGUUCUUCACACAUGACAUUCCAUUUCUGUGGCUUUAUAAUUCCUUGGCUGCUUCAAGACUCAAUACUUCAAGUAUUACUUUGUGCAUUUUCUAGUCUAUUCAGCUACUGAAUAUGACCCUCCUUGAAAUACCCAAUAUCUGCUUUGAAUAUACAAUCAACAAGCAUACAUUAAGCACUUAUUGUGUCAGAGGUAUUUCACUAACAUUAGGGAUGAAAAAAAAAGGCAAAAGCAUGGUACCUGCCACUACAAUGUAGGCUCUUUGAAAGCAGACACUCUUUCAGUACCUGACAGACACUAAGUGUUGAAAAAAUACUUGGUUCAUUGUAAAAUAUGGGGAUAGAUAUUUUAGAGUUUCUGUGAGAAUCAAAUUAAGUAUAAAAACUUCUUUGUAAACACCAUAAAUUGUGUUAGACUUAUGUCCAAGAAACCUUUCUAUGCCUGAUUUAUUUAAAAUUCUUGUUCAUAUAAGUGAUUUCAGCAAUUCACCUGAGGGAUCAGUUGCUAAUACACACACACACACACACACACACACACACACACACACACACACUUUCUGUUCUUAUGGUACAUUUUUUAGGAUAAAUUCCUGAGAGGAUGGACUUGUUUUAUCUUUAGAAAUACAAAGCAUGCAUGGAAUCACAUGUGACAGCAGGAAGGAAACUUGGAUCAGAUCAUAGAGAGGCAAAAGGAAUUUUAGAGGCCAUUGAGUCCCAUUUCAUUUCACAUUUAUUCAAGCCCAGAAUAUAUCUCGUCGAUGGGCACACAAUUUGUUGUGGGGGUGAGAUGAGAUUUAGAAAGAGAUUCCAAGCCUAGUACUGCCCCUACGAUAGUAUAAAUCCAAAUCAUAUAAAUCCAAUCCCUUCAUUUUAUACCAGAGUUCCAGUGAGGUUAAGUAAUCUACCCCAUAAUCACACAGAUGCUGAUGGAACUAAAACUCAUACCUCAACUCCAUGUCUAAUAUACUUUGCCCCCUGAACCACCUGUGCUAUAGAACACCAAACCAAAAAGUUAUAGUCUGUCUUUGAUGCUAAAAACUUAACUUCUCAGCAAACAUCUCUCUGCUUUAAUGGUAACUUCAAAAUGCCUGCUGCCUAAUAGUGUAUAUGCUCAAAUAAGAUGUAUGACCAGAAAGGAAGGCAAACUAGUCCUGUAGUAUGAAUGAGACCACUGAUGGUCAAUCCAUGUGGUCCUAUACCAACUUGACAAAAGACCCCCAAAUGACCCACAUACUCAGCAGAACUACUGUAUGGGAGAACAGAGAAGAGUCCGUAGAUAAAAAGAUAUAAUCUAUACCACAUAGAUGUUCCCUGUAAAUGUGGGCUCACUUUCAAAUAUUAGACUCUUAAAAGUCUAGUAUUGGGAAGAUAAGUUGAAGCAGUAUAGUAAUAGUAAUUAAAAACUCAUAAGUGGGUACCCACAUAAAUGAUAUUAAAGAAAGAAAAUGGUAAGGGGCAGGGGGGUUGGCCUAAUUUCUGAGGUCCCUUGUAGAUCUGAUGUCAUGACAGAAAUGAAGUGACUUGUGAGGGCAAGAGGCCUUAGUUGCCAAGUUCCUGUUGGCCUUUGGUUUUUUUCUGGCAAAAUCACAGAACUUUUCAACUCCUGCUAAACUUUUGUGUAAAACUUGCUAAGCAUCUACUUGCUAAAUAGCUAUUUUCCAUUGCUAUUUAUUCUGACUACCCCCAAAAUAGCAGCUGACAUUAUUUCUGCUGCUCUGAUUAAAAAACAGCAUGGCCUUACCCACAGGGAGUAGCAAACUACAAGUAUUUAGAGCAAUCUAAAUAACAAGUGUCAGAGAUUCAAAAUAUUUUUAAUCAUUUGAAUAUAAUAAAGGAGAACAGUAAUCACAGAAUCUGAGGUUAAAAAAAAAGGCCAAAGAGAUCAUUCAAUCCAACUUUAAGAGAUCAUCACCGUGACUAAAAGUUGGGAGGAAUCUUAGGGGUUUAGCUGGUCCAAAUUCCUCAUUUGAUAGAUGAAGCAAAAUUGACGAGAGGCUGUGACUUUCCUGGGGUGUUCCUGACAGCUAGAAUUUGAACCCAGUUCCUUUGGCUCCAAAUCCAGCGUUUUUUCCCGACAGAAAUAUCUCUGCAGAGCCUCCCACUGCUCAAGUGAUUUUAUGUCUCAUACUUAAUGAGUUUUUAAUUAUUAGUACUGUGCUGCUUCCAUUUAUCUUCCUAAUACAGACUCUCAGGAGUCUCUGAUAUUACAUUUACAGGGAACAUUAUAAAUUGCCAAAGCACUUUCCUUACAAGUCCAUGCAAAAAGGGGCAUUAAUUAUUAUGAGGCCCAGAGACAUUGCACACAAAUAGUAUCAAAGAUGGGAACUGAAGCUAAGUUUUUGAGCUAAAAGUCAAGUACUCUUGUACUAUGCUCAACUGGUAGGUCCACCAAGCAUGCCUCCAAUCCUUCUAAGUAACUUCUUUCAAUAAUUCAACAGUCUAGGUCUAGUACCCUAUAUAAAAACCAAUUUUCCAAGAACUUCUAAUUGUGGAGCAGAGAGGGACCAAACCCAGAGGGAGGUGGGAAUUUAUUUUAUUCUAAAGUGGCACGUUCCAAACAAUAACCUGUUAAUAACAUGCAUAGUUUUUCAUUAACACCAAGAGUGGCUGCCAUUAGGUCAAUGACAAAUUCUGGGAAGAGAGAAUUAGAAUUGCAGCUCUGCUUACAUUAACACUCCACUUCCCUCUGGUGCCAUAAGUAUAUAGAAGCACACAGGGUUUAGACAAUAUACUCAUAUACUGGGAUCUGUAGUAGGAGUUGAUUUAUGUGUAUGCCUGAAUUUCUGAAAUGCAUGUAUUUCAGUCUCACAUGCAACAAACACCACCCCCCACUUGCUCUCAAUCUCUGCUUAUCAAAAAACUACUUAUCUUUGAAUAUCUACUUCUAAGAGUUUCUCUCCUCCCUGACACUUCCCUGAUGAUUCCCUGAGUUAGAGGUGAUGUUAGCCUCUUCUGAAAUACAAUGCAUCCAUUCCUAUGCCAAAUAUCUUAUCUUAUGGUUGUGUGCCUAUCUUAAAUUUUCUGGCUAUAAUGGCUUUAAGGACUUCAUUGGAAGGAAGCAUGCCUUGUACAUUUAUGAGGUAAACAUGCUUCCAGGUUCACUCUGAAAAGAGCUUCCCAAUGAAUUCUGGUGGAUUUUGCCAAGUUUAUUUUGUCACAGCAAAGACAAAAGAUUGGAAGGGGAUUGGCAGGGUGGGAACGGUGGACUGCUUUACCAUUAGUCUGCUAACUAUGC